rnacentral:tRNA from 1 species
GCGCCCAUAGCUCAGUUGGUAGAGCAGCUCCCUUUUAAGGAGUUGGUCCCUGGUUCGAGCCCAGGUGGGCGCA